rnacentral:rRNA from 1 species
GACGAACGCUGGCGGCGUGCUUAACACAUGCAAGUCGAACGGAAAGGCCCUGCCUGCAGGGUACUCGAGUGGCGAACGGGUGAGUAACACGUGGGUGAUCUGCCCUGCACUUCGGGAUAAGCCUGGGAAACUGGGUCUAAUACCGGCUAGGAGCCAUUUUUAGUGUGAUGGUUGGAAAGUUUUUUCGGUGUAGGAUGAGCUCGCGGCCUAUCAGCUUGUUGGUGGGGUAAUGGCCUACCAAGGCGGCGACGGGUAGCCGGCCUGAGAGGGUGGACGGCCACAUUGGGACUGAGAUACGGCCCAGACUCCUACGGGAGGCAGCAGUGGGGAAUAUUGCACAAUGGGCGCAAGCCUGAUGCAGCGACGCCGCGUGGGGGAUGACGGCCUUCGGGUUGUAAACUCCUUUCGCUAGGGACGAAGCUUUUUGUGACGGUACCUAGAUAAGAAGCACCGGCUAACUACGUG